rnacentral:misc_RNA from 1 species
GUAUUAAUUCUUGGCUGUUUUUCUUUAGAAAAACAGGCAGGAGAUAUGGAGUUUCCCCCGCAAGAGGGUGCUUUGAAAUAGAUUGCCUUUGUUUUUGUUGGACUCGACGAAGUUUUUCAAAACCUGCAGAAAAGUAUUUGAAUGGAACCGUGGUUUCUCUUGAUGCUGAAUAUGCAGGCGAAAGAUGGAGUUUCCUUCAGGCAAAGGUCCAUACCUAAUAAGUCGGUUUUAGGACUGGCUUGAA